GGUAACUGUGGGCAGGAGGGCGCGGUAAUAGGGUGGGGUGGGGGUGGAAGGGGAAUGAGGGGGCGUAAAGGGGGGGCAGGCGGCAGAGCAAGUCGAGUGUGAAAGCCCCGGGCUUAACGUGGGAAUUGGGCUCGAAACUACGUUGCUGGAGUGUGGCAGAGGAAGGUGGAAUUCCACGUGUAGCGGUGAAAUGCGUAGAGAUGUGGAGGAACACCAAUGGCGAAGGCAGCCUUCUGGGCCAACACUGACGCUCAUGCACGAAAGCGUGGGGAGCAAACAGGAUUAGAUACCCGAGUAGUC
rnacentral:rRNA from 1 species